UCAAGGCACUUCAUAUGGCCUUUUCCUCCUUACCUCUUCCACAUCCCUCCAUCCCUCCUUUCUGCCUUGUAAUUACUUCCUCAGUAAGCCUAAAGUGACUGAAUGGAAGUCCUUAUUUCACACCUUUUAUUUUGUCAGAGAAACUAGGGUCACUAAAGCAAACUGAGAAACUUGAUUUAAAUGUAAAUGCUGCAGAGAACCCUUGGUUUGUUUUUAACAAAGGAGGAACAUGAUCAGAUUGUUAAGACUGGAGGCUGCAAAAGGAAAUACAUAGAGUUUCUUCCCAUCUAAUGCAACAUGACGAGAAGCUACUAAUCAAACCCAGGAGGAAUUAUUGAUAGUUUGCAAAAGCCUGGACAUAAAGACAAUGAAGCUGGGAGUUCAAGAGUUAGAAGAAUCAAGAGUUGGGCAUCCUGGGAGAAGGCCGAUGUUAAGGGUCCUGAAAGCUUUCUGAAGCCUGAGUGCAGCAUUAUGUGGCUUAGGGGCAGUGCCACAGGUGGAUCCAUGGACCAGGACCAUCACUAAUUUCUCUGAUCCCUUAUAAGUUUGCACAUAUUGCUAUUUCACUGUGAGUGAGGAAAAGAUCGCCAAUGAUAACUAAUAAAGAACUUGUGGUUCAACUCUCAAAAAUAGGAGCCAACAACCACUUUUAAUCUUUAAAUUUUAACAGAAAGAAGGGGAAAGGAAAGGAAUUUUAUCAAGUAGGCAGCUACCUGAUCUCCAGCACAGCUUUCAAGGAGUAUGUUUCAGUUCUCAAGAGCUUCCACCACCAAAUCAUUUCUUUGAGAGUAUAAUUUCCUCCCCAAAACUCCUUCAUAGAAAUAUACACACACUCCUGAUGACAUCAACUUGUAACUGAGUAACUGAGGCAUUAAAGCACUGGCCUUAAAGUAUGCUGAGGGAAGCACAAACUCAGAAGAAGAAAAAUGUAAAGGUACACACACACACACACACACACACACACGUAGAUUCCAAAUGCAUACAUAUAUUCAUUUAUUCCAAAUUAGAGAAAGAGAUCUGAAAUUUGAAAAUUAAUCAAUGAAAUCUAUAAAGUUGUGUCCCAAAUCUCUAUUAUUUAGUUUAAUUAGCAAUGCAUUAUCCUCAAUAAAGGAAAUUGGUUUUUA